rnacentral:rRNA from 1 species
GAUGAACGCUGGCGGUAUGCUUAACACAUGCAAGUCGAACGGACUCUUCGGAGUUUGUGUCGGACGGGUGUGUAACGCGUGAGAAUCUGGCUUUGGGUUCGGGACAACCACUGGAAACGGUGGCUAAUACCGGAUGUGCCGAGAGGUAAAAGAGAAAUUGCCUGAAGAUGAGCUCGCGUCUGAUUAGCUAGUUGGUGAGGUAAAGGCUCACCAAGGCAGCGAGCAGUAGCUGGUCUGAGGGGAUGACCAGCCACACUGGGACUGAGACACGGCCCAGACGCCUCCGGGAGGCAGCAGGAGGGAAUGACCGGCAAUGGGCGAGAGCCUGACGGAGCAGUACCGAGUGAGAGAAGAAGGCUCUUGGGUUGUAAACCUCUUUACUUAGGGAAGAACAAAAUGACGGUACCUAAGGAAACAGCAUCGGCUAACUCCGUG